CUUGACUUCUGUAUAUACUACAUCGUGUUCACCACCAAAAGGUUUCCAUUCGCUACCAUACAAAUGGAUGGAUUUUAAAGUCAUUAUGCUACAUGAAGGAACGCAGACAUGAAAGAAUACAGUGAUCUUCUUACCACUUGUUGUGAGCCUAUGAUGCUGAUAGAAUUAAUAUUCCAGUCUCUGGCUCUACCUCUUCUGCCAACAUCACCAUGGCCGUGUGUCCUCACGCUUUGUCUGAUCCGAGGGCAGAGGUGACCCUCCAGGAGUCCAACCAGGAAUUGCGUUCACAGCUGGCACAAAGCAAGCAGGACUUCCAAGCCCUCAUGGAGGAAUUCCUUGUAUCCGAAGCUGCUGCCUACUCCCUGGCCA
rnacentral:lncRNA from 1 species